rnacentral:rRNA from 1 species
GACGAACGCUGGCGGCGUGCUUAACACAUGCAAGUCGAACGGUGAACCUCUUCGGAGGGGAUCAGUGGCGAACGGGUGAGUAACACGUGGGCAACCUGCCCCCGGCUCUGGGAUAACUCCAAGAAAUUGGGGCUAAUACCGGAUGUUCACCGCUUCCCGCAUGGGUGGUGGUGGAAAGGGUUUCCGGCUGGGGAUGGGCCCGCGGCCUAUCAGCUUGUUGGUGGGGUAGUGGCCUACCAAGGCGACGACGGGUAGCCGGCCUGAGAGGGUGACCGGCCACACGGGGACGGAGACACGGCCCAGACUCCUAGGGGGGGGAGCGGGGGGGAAUAUGGGGCAAGGGGCGGAAGCCGGACGCAGGGACCCCGGGGGGGGGAUGAGGGCCUUGGGGUUGUAAACCUUUUUCAGAAGGGACGAAGCGAAAGUGACGGUACCGGCAAAAGAAGCCGCGGCCAACUACGU